rnacentral:rRNA from 1 species
GACGAACGCUGGCGGCGUGCCUAAUACAUGCAAGUAGAACGCUGAAGGAGGAGCUUGCUUCUCUGGAUGAGUUGCGAACGGGUGAGUAACGCGUAGGUAACCUGCCUGGUAGCGGGGGAUAACUAUUGGAAACGAUAGCUAAUACCGCAUAAGAGUAGAUGUCGCAUGACAUUUGCUUAAAAGGUGCAAUUGCAUCACUACCAGAUGGACCUGCGUUGUAUUAGCUAGUUGGUGAGGUAACGGCUCACCAAGGCAACGAUACAUAGCCGACCUGAGAGGGGGAUCGGCCACACUGGGACUGAGACACGGCCCAGACUCCUACGGGAGGCAGCAGUAGGGAAUCUUCGGCAAUGGACGGAAGUCUGACCGAGCAACGCCGCGUGAGUGAAGAAGGUUUUCGGAUCGUAAAGCUCUGUUGUAAGAGAAGAACGAGUGUGAGAGUGGAAAGUUCACACUGUGACGGUAUCUUACCAGAAAGGGACGGCUAACUACG